rnacentral:rRNA from 1 species
GACGAACGCUGGCGGCGUGCUUAACACAUGCGAGUCGAACGGAAAGGCCCUGCUUGCAGGGUACUCGAGUGGCGAACGGGUGAGUAACACGUGGGUGAUCUGCCCUGCACUUCGGGAUAAGCUUGGGAAACUGGGUCUAAUACCGGAUAGGACCGCACUUUAGUGUGUGUGGUGGAAAGUUUUUUCGGUGUAGGAUGAGCUCGCGGCCUAUCAGCUUGUUGGUGGGGUAAUGGCCUACCAAGGCGGCGACGGGUAGCCGGCCUGAGAGGGUGUACGGCCACAUUGGGACUGAGAUACGGCCCAGACUCCUACGGGAGGCAGCAGUGGGGAAUAUUGCACAAUGGGCGCAAGCCUGAUGCAGCGACGCCGCGUGGGGGAUGAAGGCCUUCGGGUUGUAAACUCCUUUCGCUAGGGACGAAGCUUUUUGUGACGGUACCUAGAUAAGAAGCACCGGCUAACUACGUG